rnacentral:rRNA from 1 species
UUAAAUUGAAGAGUUUGAUCAUGGCUCAGAUUGAAUGCUGGCGGCAGGCCUAACACAUGCAAGUCGAACGGUAACAGGAAACAGCUUGCUGUUUCGCUGACGAGUGGCGGA